CUAUUGGGUAGCAAUAUUCGGUAGUGGGAGUGGCGCAAGGGUGCGUAACACGUGGGUAAUUUGCCGUAAAGUCUGGGAUAACUUGCUGAAAGGCGAGCUAAUACCGGAUGUGAUUGCUGGAGGGCAUCCUCUGGCACUUAAAGUCGGGGACCGUAAGGCCUGACGCUUUUCGAUAAGCCCGCGGCCUAUCAGCUAGUUGGUGAGGUAACGGCUCACCAAGGCUAAGACGGGUAGCUGGUCUGAGAGGACGACCAGCCUCACUGGAACUGAGACACGGUCCAGACACCUACGGGUGGCAGCAGUCGAGAAUUUUUCUCAAUGGGGGAAACCCUGAAGGAGCGACGCCGCGUGGGGGAUGAAUGGCUUCGGCCCGUAAACCCCUGUCAUUUGCGAUCAAACCUUACGACCUAACACGUUGUAAGCUGAUAGUAGCGAAAGAGGAAGGGACGGCUAACUCUGUGCCAGCAGCCGCGGUAAUACAGAGGUCCCAAGCGUUGUUCGGAUUCACUGGGCGUAAAGGGUGCGUAGGCGGUCGGGUAAGUCUGACGUGAAAUCUUCAAGCUCAACUUGGAAACUGCGUCGGAUACUAUUCGGCUAGAGGAAUGGAGGGGAGACUGGAAUACUUGGUGUAGCAGCGAAAUGCGUAGAUAUCAAGUGGAACACCAGUGGCGAAGGCGAGUCUCUGGACAUUUCCUGACGCUGAGGCACGAAAGCCAGGGGAGCAAACGGGAUUAGAUACCCCGGUAGUCCUGGCCCUAAACGGUGCACGUUUGCUGUAAGAGGAAUCGACCCCUUUUGUGGCGAAGCUAACGCGUUAAACGUGCCGCCUGGGAAGUACGGCCGCAAGGUUAAAACUCAAAGAAAUUGACGGGGGCCCGCACAAGCGGUGGAGUAUGUGGCUUAAUUCGAUGCAACGCGAAGAACCUUACCUGGCCUUGACAUGCA
rnacentral:rRNA from 1 species